GACGAACGCUGGCGGCGUGCUUAACACAUGCAAGUUGAACGGUAAAGGCCUGUUCUUGUGGGGUGCUCGAGUGGCGCACGGGUGUGUAAAAAGCGUGUGAACUGUCCCUUUCAUUGGGGUAAAUCCUGGGAAAACGGGUGAAAACCCGGCAUGAACUCCUUAUACACGGGGGGGGUUGUUAAAAUUUGGCGUUGGGGGAUGGAAGCGUGGGCCAUCAGCUUGUUGGUGGGGUAGUGGCUUACAAAGGCUUUGACGGGUAGCCGGCCUGAGAGGGUGACCGGCCACAUUGGGACUGAGAUACGGCCCAGACUCCUACGGGAGGCAGCAGUGGGGAAUAUUGCACGAUGGGCGGAAGCCUGAUGCAGCAACGCCGCGUGCGGGAUGACGGCCUUCGGGUUGUAAACCGCUUUCGCCUGUGACGAAGCGUGAGUGACGGUAAUGGGUAAAGAAGCACCGGCUAACUACGCG
rnacentral:rRNA from 1 species